AUCGCUUCUCGGCCUUUUGGCUAAGAUCAAGUGUAGAUUUUUACUGAUGCUGGAAAACCCAAUGUCUUUACCUUGAUAAAGGGAUUAUCUUUUUUCUAUAUAAGAAAUAUAGAAAUAUUAUUU
ensembl:snRNA LOC120101119 U2 spliceosomal RNA